CGCCCUGUGGGGCUGAGGCGCGCGAGUGAGGCCGGAGAGUUUCCCCAGCCAUGCUGGCCCUGGCGCUGCUGCUGCCCCUGGCCCUGGCCGGGACCCCCGAGGUGACGGUGCCUCGACCCCGGGGGGUGGCCCUGAGCCAGCUGCCGUUCUACGACCCCUCGGGGCCGUUCCGCUGCCUGGACGGCUCCGGCGCCGUCGCCUUCAGCUGGGUCAACGACGAUUACUGCGACUGCCAGGAUGGGUCUGACGAGCCUGGGACCCCCGCGUGCCCCAACGGGCGAUUCCACUGCGCCAACGCCCGGGGCACCGCCCCCUAGCAUCCCCGCGGCCCACGUCAACGACGGCGCCUGGGUGUUCGGAUUUGGGGGCAAUUUGGGGGUCCUGGGGGAUUUGGGGGGAUUUUGGGGGUCCUGGGGGGGAUUUGGGGGAUUUUGGGAGACAUUUGUGGAGGUUUGGGCACCGCACCGUCCUCCCGGAGCAUCCCCAGGUCACGGCGCGCCCCCCCCUGGGGGUGCGGCCUGGGGGGUUUGGGGGGUCCCGAAGGGGUUUUGGGGGUCCUGGGAGCGGCUUGGGGGAUUUUGGGGGUCCUGGGGGGAUUUGGGGGUCCUGGGGAGGGUUUGGGGGGUCCUGGGGGGGAUUUGGGGGGAUUUUGGGGGUCCUGGCGGGGAUUUGGGGGGAUUUUGGGGGUCCUGGGGGGUCCUGGGGGGAUUUGGGGGGAUUUGGGGGUCCUGAAGGGGAUUUGGGUUUACCGAGGGGGUUUAGGGGCAUUUGGGGAGGUUUGGGCGCCGCAGCAUCCCCACGGCUCACAGCAACAACGGCGUCUGCG
rnacentral:lncRNA from 1 species